CCUACGGGUGGCUGCAGUGAGGAAUAUUGGUCAAUGGACGAGAGUCUGAACCAGCCAAGUAGCGUGAAGGAUGACUGCCCUAUGGGUUGUAAACUUCUUUUAUAUGGGAAUAAAACAGGGUAUGCAUACCCUCUUGUAUGUACCAUAUGAAUAAGGAUCGGCUAACUCCGUGCCAGCAGCCGCGGUAAUACGGAGGAUCCGAGCGUUAUCCGGAUUUAUUGGGUUUAAAGGGAGCGUAGGCGGACAGUCAAGUCAGCGGUAAAAAUGCGGUGCUCAACGCCGUACAGCCGUUGAAACUGGCAGUCUUGAGUGGGCGAGAAGUAUGCGGAAUGCGUGGUGUAGCGGUGAAAUGCAUAGAUAUCACGCAGAACUCCGAUUGCGAAGGCAGCAUACCGGCGCCCGACUGACGCUGAGGCACGAAAGCGUGGGUAUCGAACAGGAUUAGAUACCCGUGUAGUC
rnacentral:rRNA from 1 species